GUAAGUCCUCUCUCUCUUUCUCUCUCUUUCUCCGUACCAAUGCCAUUUUCUGAUAUCUGUUUGUUUCUCGAGAAAAUGCUGGAAAACAAGAUCGAACAAACUGUUUUAAUUUAAGGUUUUCUCGGCAACCAUACAAAGAUGGGAUGGGAUCAUCAUAAUCUUGUCCAGUAAGACUUAGAUUUCCGUUUCUGAUAUGUUAACGAACAUCUCCUCUCUUGGGUUUCUCAUAUAAUAGUUGGAUCGAGAUAAUGGGACGUGGAGUGAGCAGCGGCGGAGGACAGAGUUCUUUGGGCUACCUUUUUGGAGGUGGAGAGGCUCCUGCUCCUCCAGUUCCAAAGCCCACCAAUACCAAUGCUGAGACUCCUCAGAGCAGCCGCCUCCCUGUAGCCAAUGAGCCUGCAGAGGUCAGCAAGCAGAUUCCAGCUGGUGUUCCUGCAAAACCCAACACCACUAAUAACUAUUUCCGUGCUGAUGGGCAGAACUGUGGCAACUUUCUCACGGUAUG
rnacentral:lncRNA from 1 species